CUUCAGGUUGUGUGUGUGGUGGCCUGGCAUUCAAUCUGUGAGGUGGAUGCGUGUUGGAAGGACCCCUUUUGGUUUCUUUUUGCUCAGAGCUUUCUUUUAAUAAAUUCCGCUCUCCUCACCUUUCAAUGUGUCCGUAUGCCUAAUUUUUCCUGGUCCUGUGACAAGAACCUGAUUUUAGCUGAACUAAGGAGCGAAAGAUCCUGGAUCAUUUUGGUGACCCAUACUGGUACAUGAGGAAAGAGUUCAGUACAGACUGACACAAGAUUAUCUUAGCUCCUAUUCCAGAUUCUCAGAGUAUAGAUUCUGACUGGAUUACCCUGGUCCUUGAAGUAUACCUAGGAGAUGGAAUAACAUUGUAUAAGCAUCCACGUUGUCAUUAAGAGGAAAGAGUUUCCAUUAAAACAGCAGGUCACAAAACCCUCCUGUGAGAGGAACCCUCUGUGGAAGAACAGAAUAUGUCACCCCAAAAUAUGAAGAAUUGUUGAGCUGAAGAUGAUUAAGAAGAAGCGGAUGCAGGAAAGCUCUCUGCUCUCCCUCUAUUUGCUUAAAAGCAGGAUAAACACUUACAAAGACUAAAGGGGUCCAUUCCAACUAAGAAACUAUGGGGGACCAGGCAUGGUGGCUCACGCCUAUAAUCCCAGCACUUUGGGAGGCCAAGGCCGGCAGAUCACGAGGUCAGGAGAUCGAGACCAUCCUGGCCAACAUGACGCCACAAUCAAGAACUCAGAAGGGUAGAAGAAAAAGAUAGUUUCCCUUCCCUACACAGGGUCCAUGCAUUCAGUGGAGUAAUGAUUCCUGUCCAUGAAAAAAAAAAAAGAAAGUAGAAAAUUUCAGAGAAGAGAAAAAUUUUCCACUUGGGAGCAAGGGCAUGAGGGCAGCGGGGAAGUGGUAGAUAUACUGACAUGUUAAUAUAUUAGGUCUUGUAUUUCUUUUGUACAUAGUCUUUCUUCUUUGACUGCCUCGUUCAUGCAUCUCCACUACUUGAAAAAUUAUUUAAUUUACAAGCAUGUGCCAAAGUCCUACAUCAUGCUUCCUCUAAGAUUCUAUGCAAGCCAAUUCAAAGAUUUCUCUCUUAAAAAUAUUUGUAUGAAAAAAAGACAUGGCUAGGAAAUCACUGUUCAGUAGGAUAAAAUAAAAGUGC
rnacentral:lncRNA from 10 species